AGCACCAAUUAUGCUAAUAAAUGAGCACGUUAGCACGUUAUUGUAAUAUCCCAUAGUACAUACAUGUUAUUAAAACUUGAACUAAUGCACUGUGAGUCUUAUAAAUUGCUUACAUACCUCACCGAUUUCCCACUGUCUGGAAAACGCUCGGUUUAGUUCCUGUCUCCGCCUCCCAAAAUGUCUUGUGUAUUCGGAUUGGUCAGAUGACUACUCAACUGUUAUUGGUCAACUGGGUUCGGCGUGUGUUUGAAAGGUUACGCCCCUGACUACGCGUGGGUUUUCCGGUUCUGACUGAGAGUCACAGGCAACGUAAACAAGCGCUAUAUUUCUCUAUAAACGAUGGUGUCUGUACUGCCUUACCACUUCAAGCUCGAUCCAGAGAGUUCAGACGGCGUUACGAUAUAAACGAUCUCCGUCAAUUAACGCGAUUGGAUUUAACUUUUUUAGGUGUCCUUAGCUCUGCCAGAAUGCUAAACGAAGACGAAAAUGUGUUGCAAAGACAUCCAAAAGGUAAUUAUAACGUACUACAUUACUUUGCAAACUAUAUGGAAACACCAAAUGUAGCACAUAGAAAGUAUUUUUUGAAAUGAUUAUAAAACUAUUUCACUUAUUAACAUUAUUUACUAUAGUAAACUUUAUUAAAAAAGCCUGCUUACAUACUAUAUUACUGUGCAAACUAUAUGGAAACACCAAAUGUAGCACAUAGAAAGUAUUUGUUGAAAUGAUUAUAAAACUAUUUCAUUUGUUAACAUUAUUUUACUAUAGUAAACUGUAUUAUAAAAGACUGUUUACAUACUAUAUCACUGUGCAAACUAUAUGGAAACACCAAAUGUAGCACAAAGAAAGUAUUAAUUGAAAUGAAUGUUCUACAUUAUUUCACUAUGGGAAACUUUAUUAUGAAAAACUGCUUACUUAUAAGUGCUAUGUUUUUACUUAUUAGGUUUUAAGGAGAAUGCAACAGGUUCCAGGGCCUCUUACCUGCGUGAUUCAUCAUCCAGAUACGCUUGGAGCUUCCUGAUCAGAUCGGUCACAAUUUUGGCUUUCGAUGACCCCUGCACUGAAGAUGGCAUGCAAUCACGUCCUCCUUUGAAGGUCUCUCAAACUGUGAUGCCAGGUCCAUUGGAAUCGGGGUUUCCUUCAGCUUAUCUUCAAAUACCUCAUCAAACACAAGCCUGAUCACAUCAUCCACAUAACUGUAGAAAUAUUGCAGUCAAUAAAUCUUUUGUUUUGAUCAUUUAUUUCCCUGCUUCAUACAUUAAGUUUUUAAUUAUGAAUGUAUUUGAAAUAAAACAUUACUGCUUA